rnacentral:lncRNA from 1 species
GUGACCCUGCAAUUAAAACCCCCGCGCUGCAGCAUCGCGGAAAACGGGAUUCGCAUAAUUUGAAAUUUGAGGAAAAUCUCUAAAUACUUUAAUUUUGAUAGAAACUAUUUCCACUGCUGACAUGUGUCUACACCUAUAAUUUCAGUUGAUAAAUUGCUGUAAUUUCUCCUCCAUUUCAUGUUCUUUCGAACAUUAAUUGUCAGUUGCAGGGAAGGAACUUCUAAACUGAAAGCUGGCAAGACUCAGCAGAAAAAAAAUAUCAAAAGCUGCUUCUGCUGCCCCAGCUUCACUCAGGCCCUGGCUGCUCCUUCACGGGUCUACACUGCUACCUCCUGGAACCACCCACUCUGCAACCAGCCGUGAGGGGUGAGGCUCGCUCGGAAGCUCCCAGAACCUGGAGGCUGCCCUCACUCAACACUUGAACAAGCAAGGGGCCAGAUUCAAUGAAACACCUGCCCGCCCGGCACACCAGGCUCAAAAGCAAGCAAGCAAGCAAACAAACAAACAAAAUCAAAUCAGGCCUUCACAACUCCCCAAAUCAUGUGUGAGUUUCUACAGAGCAGAAGCCAAAAAUAUAUGUUAUCUAACUAGGUCCUAUUUACAUAUAUUUUUAUGGCUGCUUUAAAAAAUUAUCACAAACAUAGCGGCUUCACCCCGUUUCCCCUGUUGUGAUUAUUACAGAUUGGAUGCCUGUAUCAAAAUAUCUCAUGGACCCCAUAAAUAGCAACACCCUGUAUGUACUCAUGACAAUUUUUUAAAAAAGAACACUUACACUUUC